rnacentral:snoRNA from 10 species
UUGAGGAUGAAGAAGAAAAUCAGACGGAUUCCCAUUGAUUUCAAAUCGAAAUGUGAUCUUUAACCAGCUACUUCCGACUCAA